GUCUACGGCUAUACCACCCCUGAAUGCUCCCGAUCUCGUCUGAUCUCGGAAGCUAAGCAGGGUCGGGCCUGGUUAGUACUUCGAUGGGAGACCGCCUGGGAAUACCAGGUGCUGUAGGCU
ensembl:rRNA n-R5s151 nuclear encoded rRNA 5S 151